rnacentral:rRNA from 1 species
UACGGAGGGUGCAAACGUUGCUCGGAAUCAUUGGGCGUAAAGCGCGCGUAGGCGGCCCUGUAAGUCCGUUGUGAAAGUCGAAGGCUCAACCUUCGAAAGCCGAUGGAUACUGCAGGGCUAGAGUCCGGAAGAGGCGAGUGGAAUUCCUGGUGUAGCGGUGGAAUGCGUAGAUAUCGGGAGGAAUACCUAUGGCGAAAGCAGGUUUCUGGGCCGUCACUGACGCUGAUCUGCGAAAGCUAGGGGAGCAAACAGG